rnacentral:tRNA from 2 species
GCAGAGGUACCCAAGCGGCCUAAGGGGAGCGGCUGCAACCCGCUUAUUCGGGAGUUCGAAUCUCCCCCUCUGCU